rnacentral:lncRNA from 1 species
GAGAAAAUACAAAAAGUGCCAUUAAUUAAAUAAAGCACAAAAUUUCAAGAUAUCUUAACAAUCUUCGCGUCAAACUUUCAAGUCAUUUUUAGUGUCUUCCUAACACUUUUUGGGCACAAGCUAUGAAAUAACUUCAGUUAGAUCUUUCAAUUCCCUUCGAAUCAAUAUGUUAUGAGCCCAAAACGAAGGCAUGUAGCUUAA